AGAGUUUGAUCCUGGCUCAGAUUGAACGCUGGCGGCAGGCCUAACACAUGCAAGUCGAGCGGAAACGAGUUAUCUGAACCUUCGGGGAACGAUAACGGCGUCGAGCGGCGGACGGGUGAGUAAUGCCUAGGAAAUUGCCCUGAUGUGGGGGAUAACCAUUGGAAACGAUGGCUAAUACCGCAUGAUGCCUACGGGCCAAAGAGGGGGACCUUCGGGCCUCUCGCGUCAGGAUAUGCCUAGGUGAGAUUAGCUAGUUGGUGAGGUAAGGGCUCACCAAGGCGACGAUCCCUAGCUGGUCUGAGAGGAUGAUCAGCCACACUGGAACUGAGACACGGUCCAGACUCCUACGGGAGGCAGCAGUGGGGAAUAUUGCACAAUGGGCGCAAGCCUGAUGCAGCCAUGCCGCGUGUGUGAAGAAGGCCUUCGGGUUGUAAAGCACUUUCAGUCGUGAGGAAGGUAGUGUAGUUAAUAGCUGCAUUAUUUGACGUUAGCGACAGAAGAAGCACCGGCUAACUCCGUGCCAGCAGCCGCGGUAAUACGGAGGGUGCGAGCGUUAAUCGGAAUUACUGGGCGUAAAGCGCAUGCAGGUGGUUUGUUAAGUCAGAUGUGAAAGCCCGGGGCUCAACCUCGGAAUAGCAUUUGAAACUGGCAGACUAGAGUACUGUAGAGGGGGGUAGAAUUUCAGGUGUAGCGGUGAAAUGCGUAGAGAUCUGAAGGAAUACCGGUGGCGAAGGCGGCCCCCUGGACAGAUACUGACACUCAGAUGCGAAAGCGUGGGGAGCAAACAGGAUUAGAUACCCUGGUAGUCCACGCCGUAAACGAUGUCUACUUGGAGGUUGUGGCCUUGAGCCGUGGCUUUCGGAGCUAACGCGUUAAGUAGACCGCCUGGGGAGUACGGUCGCAAGAUUAAAACUCAAAUGAAUUGACGGGGGCCCGCACAAGCGGUGGAGCAUGUGGUUUAAUUCGAUGCAACGCGAAGAACCUUACCUACUCUUGACAUCCAGAGAACUUUCCAGAGAUGGAUUGGUGCCUUCGGGAACUCUGAGACAGGUGCUGCAUGGCUGUCGUCAGCUCGUGUUAUGAAAUGUUGGGUUAAGUCCCGCAACGAGCGCAACCCUUAUCCUUGUUUGCCAGCGAGUAAUGUCGGGAACUCCAGGGAGACUGCCGGUGAUAAACCGGAGGAAGGUGGGGACGACGUCAAGUCAUCAUGGCCCUUACGAGUAGGGCUACACACGUGCUACAAUGGCGCAUACAGAGGGCGGCCAACUUGCGAAAGUGAGCGAAUCCCAAAAAGUGCGUCGUAGUCCGGAUUGGAGUCUGCAACUCGACUCCAUGAAGUCGGAAUCGCUAGUAAUCGUGGAUCAGAAUGCCACGGUGAAUACGUUCCCGGGCCUUGUACACACCGCCCGU
rnacentral:rRNA from 1 species